CGCGUAGGCGGUAGUGCACGUCCGGGGUGAAAGCUUUCGGCUUAACCGGAAAAGGGCCUUGGAUACGGCACUGCUGGAGGGAGGUAGGGGCAGGUGGAACUUCCGGUGGAGCGGUGAAAUGCGUUGAUAUCGGAAGGAACGCCGGUGGCGAAAGCGACCUGCUGGACCUCUUCUGACGCUGAGGCGCGAAAGCCAGGGGAGCAAAC
rnacentral:rRNA from 1 species